AUGGAGGGCGCUGAGCCCCACGCGCGGUCGGAGCGACUGGCGGAGGCCGAGGCGCGGGCGGCCGAUGGCGGGCGCCUGGUGGAGGUGCAGCUGAGCGGCGGCGCCCCUUGGGGCUUCACCCUGAAGGGCGGCCGCGAGCACGGCGAGCCGCUGGUCAUCACCAAGGUUGAAGAAGGCAGCAAAGCUGCGGCCGUGGACAAACUGCUGGCCGGAGACGAGAUUGUGGGCAUCAAUGACGUCGGUCUGUCUGGGUUUAGACAGGAGGCCAUCUGCCUGGUGAAGGGGUCGCAUAAGACCCUGAAGCUGGUGGUGAAAAGGAGGAAUGAGCUGAGCUGGAGGCCACACUCCUGGCAUGCCACCAAGUUCUCCGACAGCCAGUCCGAGCCAGCUGCACCUCUGUUUCCCUGCCCCUCUCGGCCGAGCCGGUAUCACGCCAGCUCCUCCUCCCAGGACCUGUCGGGCGGUGCCUGGGAGCCAGCGAACCUGCAGCGCACCUCGGACCACUUCAGCUCACUGGGGAGCGUCGACAGCCUGGACCCAUCCUCCCAGCCCGACCCGUCGGGGCGCCUCUCGGCGGCCAAGUCCAGCAGCAGCAUCGACCGCCUGGGUGGCGCCAGCAAGCGGGACUCAGCUUACGGUUCAUUCUCCACCCGCUCCAGCACCCCGGACCACACUCUGCCCAAGGCGGACGCGUCCUCAGCCGAGAAUAUCCUCUACAAAGUGGGCCUGUGGGAGUCCUCCGCUGCAGUGGACAGCCGGCCGGCUCUGACGGCCGGCGACGCUCAGGGCACCGAGGAGCCCCUGGGGUGCUUCCCGCCCCGGGUCCCCGAGGAUGGCCCCGAGCCCAAGCUAGCUGCUUGCGGGCGGUCCAGCUCCGGGCCCGUCUGGUAUGUUCCGGAUAAGAGACGAGCCCCUCCGUCCCCUCCCCCACCGCCUCCCCCACUCCGCCGCGACAGCUUCGCUGCCACCAGGAGCCACGAGCAGACCCAGGGCCCCAUGUUCUCAGCAGACGCCACCCCAGUGCAGCCCUUGCUGGGCCUGAGCCGCGUGCAGCCCCACGGUGGCGACUGGAAGAGACCCGAACCCGCUGAUCAGCCGUUGAGGCUGGCGCGCGGGGGCGACGGCCAGAGAGCUGCAAGCUCGGGGUGCACGCCAGGGGCGCAUGUGGACUGUGGGUGGCCAGCCUGCGACAGCGGAGCCCGGGCCCUCCUGGGGGCCCCCAGCCGGCUGCAGGCUUCUCUCUCGAGCACGGACGUGCGGCUCCCGCAGCCCUUGCCUACAUGCCAACACCCGCGGCACUCGAGCGAUGAGGGCCCCUUCUUCCGUGAGGGCCCCAGGGCCGCCACGUGGCUAGGGGAGCCCCUCCCCACAGACUGCCUCGCGGACAACAGCCCUGCUCCCAUUGUCGUCGGAGGGCUGCGCACUGCAGACCAGAGGGGUGACUGCGGCGCGCAGAGCCGCUACUACUGCGUGAUGUCCAGACCCGGUCCCCAGUGGGGCGCCCUGGCCCCUCAGCCCCACUGCUACCCGUCCCGGCUGGAGGGUGCCCCGGGCGCACAGCAGAGAGGCAGGGUGGAGACGGUGGACAGGGCACCCGAGGACCCACCGGGGGCUGGCCUCCUGGACAAAGGCGGCAGGAAGAGGGUGGUGGGCAGCUUGGAUGACGGGGGUGGCGAGAUCUGCCCCCUGCAGACGCCCAUGCUGCACUCGCUGAGCCGGGAAGGGGCGUGCCCGCCUGAGACCCGCCACGAGGACACGGCUCCAGCGCUCUCUGAGGCCCCGGCGGGCAAGCCCCUCCGGAGGAGCGACCGCUUCGCCACCACCCUGAGGAACGAGAUCCAGCAGCGGCGAGCCAGGCUGCAGAAGAGCCGGAGCACGGCCACUUUGGCCAGCUCCGCGGAGGAGGAGGGGGAGGCGGAAAACGACGAGACUGAGGCGCGUGGUUCCCGGGCGCAGCCAGUGGGUGCCCCAGAGACCACCUUACCCGGCGGCACCUAUAAGGACCACCUGAAGGAGGCGCAGGCCCGCGUCCUGAGGGCCACGUCGUUCCGCCGCCCCGACCUGGAGCCCAGCCUGGCGGACCCGGAGCCAGCCCCCCGCAUCUGGGAGGGGGCCCCAGGUGCUGGGCCGCCCUUGUGCGCUGCCGGCAGCGGCAGCUGCAGCGCGCGCAUCGGGAGCCGGAGGCGCUUCACUGCCGAGCAGAAGCUGAAGUCCUACUCGGAGCCCGAGAAGAUGAACGCGGUGGGGCUGACGGGGGACCAGCGACCCGCACCCCAUGACGAGACGGUGCGCACCUUUGCCGAGAGGUGGAAGUUUUUUGAGGAAACCAGCAAGCCCGUGGUCCCUCAGCCUGGGCUGAGGUCGGCGCCCUGUGGCUUCCCCAGGGAGAAGCCAGAGAUGCCGUGGACAGCGGGCCCUGGAAAAGGCGGAAAGGCGGGGAGACCCAUCCGGCCAGAGCGGCUCGGCACCUUUGCAGAGUAUCAAGCCUCCUGGAGGGAACAGAGGAAAGUCCCGGAAGCCAGGAGUGGCGGGAGGUACCACUCCGCCGACAACAUCCUCGACGUGGGUGUGGACCAGGAGGAGAGGCCGCAGCACGUCCACGAAAGGUCCCGGUCAUCACCUUCCACGGACCUCUACAAGCAGGACACCUCCAUGGAACCUCGAUGGCAAGCAGGGGACCCGGAGGAGCACACGGAGCUUUCUUUGGUGGCACUGGCCGAGGACAGAGGCCCCACCCCAAGACAAGCAGAUGGUCAGUGUGCGGAGGACCGCCCAGGAGCAACACGGGACCCCCGGCAAACCUCUGAACCCCCUGGCGCCCGGGAAGGGCCCAAGGUGUCCCUGGAGGCCCGCGGCCGGGCGGGUACCCUCCCUCGUGAUUACCGGUACCCGGAGCCGCACACGCCUCUGGAGCCGACCACGCGGGGUCAGGAGCCCCGGCCCCUGAGCGCCGCCCCGCUGGCCCGGAGACCCGCCCUACAGAGGCCACCGCCGCCCAAGCGUGAGCUCCGGCCACCGCCAGGGGGCGCGCCUGGCCAGCCCCGCACCUCGGUGGCCUCCUCGGAGGCGGUGGACACGCAAAGCGCGCGGCGCGUGGAGGAGCCCACGGCCCCACUGCUCCCCGCCCCGUUCCGGCCCCUGCAGACCUCCACCAUGGACACUUCGCGCUCGCCGUCACCACAGUUCGCACCGCAGAAGCUGACGGACAAGCCCCCGCUGCUCAUCCAGGACGAGAACACCGCCAGAAUCGAGCGGGUGAUGGACAACAACACCACGGUGAAGAUGGUGCCCAUCAAAAUAGUGCAUUCGGAGAGCCAGCCGGAGAAGGAGAGCCGCCAGGCACUGGCCCGCAUUCCCGAGCCACCUCCACUGCCCCGGGGCCUCGAGUGGGACCAGAUCAAGACGCUCAGCACGUCUGAGCAGUCCUACUCGCGCUUCUGCCCCUACAGCCGCCAGAGUGCCGAGCCCCAGCCCCCUGCCAGCGCCCUGGGGCUCCCUGCCAAGGAAGGCCGGGCCUCCCCUCCUGCGCUUAGCUACGUGAAGGCCAAAGACAGGACCGCCGCCGACCUCAAGUCGGAGGAGCUGGCCCGUGAGAUCGCAGGCAGGGAUAAGUCGUUGGCGGACAUCCUGGACCCCGGCGUGAGGGUGAGAACCACCAUGGACCUCAUGGAGGGCAUCUUCCCCAGAGAUGAGCACCUCCUGGAAGGCACGCAGCAACGGAGGAAGCUGCUGCCCAAGGCGCCCUCGCCCAGGACGGUGGAGGAGAGGAGGGAGGAGACCAGCUUGCUGGCAGCCACACCCUUGGCCACCACCUCCGCCUACUACAGCACGUCAGCCCCCAAGGCGGAGCUGCUGAUAAAGAUGAAGGACCUGCAGGAGCAGCAGGAGCCAGAGGAGGACUCGGGCAGUGACUUGGACCACGACCUGUCAGUCAAAAAGCAGGAGCUCAUUGAGAGCCUUGGCCGCAAGCUGCAGGUGCUGCGGGAGGCGCGGGAGAGCCUGCUGGAGGACGUGCAGGCCAACAGCACGCUGGGCGACGAAGUGGAGGCCCUGGUCAAGGCCGUGUGCAAGCCCAAUGAGUUUGACAAGUUCCGCAUGUUCAUCGGGGACCUUGACAAGGUGGUGAACCUUCUGCUGUCGCUGUCUGGCCGCCUGGCCCGCGUGGAGAACGCCCUCAACAACCUGGACGACAGCACGCCUCCGGGCGAUCGGCUUGUUAUGUACAGGAGGGCAGGGACUGCAGCAAUCCCUGCUCGAGAAGCAGCGCGUCCUGAUCCAGCAGCACGAGGACGCCAGGGAGCUGAAGGAGAACCUGGACCGCCGGGAGGGCAUCGUCUUCGACAUCCUGGCCAGCUACCUGGGCCCCGAGAGCCUGGCGGACUACGAGCACUUCGUCAGGAUGAAGUCGGCGCUCAUCAUCGAACAGCGCGAGCUGGAAGACAAAAUACACCUGGUUGGGUGAGAUGCCUGCAUAAUGGCGGGAGAAGCCCCAGGAUAACUUCAUGUUGGGGUGACAUUCGGAGGUCAGAUCACGUUACUCCUUGUUUCCUCUUAUGCCUGUGAAAGGAGUUUUCCAGCAGGUGGGGAGAUAGCCCUUUGUCACCAGUGGCCGGCGCCUUACCAAAGACAGAAGCACACGAUGUCUUAUUAAAGGACACUACUCCACAUCCACACAGCCAGAAGGACAAGCUGGACUGGCUGCGGUGAUAUCUCUGCAGCCCUGGAGGGAACCGACCUGGCAGGCUUCAGUGAUGCUGACAAUAAACAUUCCUGUGGCAGCCCA
rnacentral:lncRNA from 1 species